UUUUUAAAUUGUUUUUUUAUAAAAAAUAUUAAAUUAAUUAUUUUUUAUAAUUUUAAUGUGUUUAUAUAAAAAAUAUAAAAAAAUUAUUUUAAUAUAUUUUUAAUUAAAAAAUAUUUUACUGAACACACAUUUAAAUAAAAAAAAAACCUCCAAAAAUUUGUUAAGAAGACCUUUGAUGGAAAUAAACCUAGAAAUCAUAUGGGUAUAGAAUAUAGAGUCCAAUGACAUGAGCCCGUGAGCCCAGAAACGGUGUAUAUACCCAAAAACGGUGUAUAUACCCAAAAAACCCUGUAUCAAUAUCCAGUAGCAUAAGAAAUUCUCACAAAAUCAAGACCCAAAAUAAUGUCGAGCUACAUGCCACCAGAAGUCAUAACCGGAAUUCUCUCCAAAUUAGGCAUCCAAACGCUCCUACGCUUGUAUAUUUGUGUCAAAACAAUGGCGUUCUUUGAUAGGCAGCAGUGCUUGCAUCAAGAUCCACGUGAACAAUUCGAUCAAAACCAACACAAACAACGCCCUUUCCGUCUUAGAUAAAAAUGGCCGCCUUUUAUCAGUUGAUUUUGACGCUCUUCGUCCUGGACACAACCCAGUCACCUUGGGAGAAAACCCACGUAUGACAAUCCCGAACCAAAGUGUUCUCUUGAUCGGUUCUUGUAAUGGUUUAUUUACUGUAGCCUAUGCAAGUGGUGCCGUUUUUGUAUGUAAUCCAUGGCUAAAGGAAUAUAAAGAGAUAUCUUUUUUCCCUUGCAUUUUUAAUAAUCUUGGUUUGCUUGUCUCGGAUAAAGAUAGGGCUUUUGGAAGAGCAUAUGGGUUUGGUUAUGAUUCAAUUUCCACCAGAUGCUAAUGUGGAAGAAUCUGAAAUGAUAAUAUAUAGCGCAAAGAAAUAUUUGUCCUGUUUUAUUAAGAUGCCUUAUCUUUGAGGACUGGUCAUUAUAUGGGUGUUUAUGUUAGGGGAGCAUUGCAUUGGAUUGCUAGUAGGUUUGAUGAUUUUAGAUGUUGUCCUACAAUGAUUGUUGGUUUUUGAUCUUGGAGUUGAUGGGUUUAGAGAGUUGCCGCAGCCGGAUUACGGGAGGGAUAUGUCUGGUUUGGAUAUAGGUGUGUUGGGUGGUUGCUUGUGCGUUUGUGCUCAUUUUGAAAAUGUGGGUGUUGAUGUUUGGGUUAUGAAAGAAUAUGGGGCUGAGGAAUCUUGGAAUAAGGUGUUUUCGAUUUUUAUGAUUAUCUGAGACUUUUUGGUUAUUCAAAGAAAGGUAAGGCUGUUUUGUUGGAAUUGGAUAUGAAAGGCUUGUUUGGUACGGUACAGAGAAGAAAAGAGUCGUUGAUUUUGUGAUUGAAGGAUGGAAGGAGGGGAAGUUCGAAGCAAUUUUAUGUUUGAAUAGCCCUUUUUCGACCGAAGCUGGAACGGCCACCGAAGAAGGAAAGGAAGACAGUGAAGAAGAGGUUAUAUAUCAUUUCUUCAUUUGGAAAAUGUUUGCAGAUGAUGGGCACAUACUUGUUAUAAUAAGCAUUCAGUAUCUUUUGUUUGCAAUGCUUCCGAGAAUAGAAUUUGCUAUAUUUCCUUCUACAAUUUAUUGCAAUUAGGGCAAUCCAGUAGUAUUCUUAUGUGAGAAUUUGAGAUUUAACUAAAUCUUAAUGAUAAAUGAAUAGCCUGUUGUGCCAUAAUUGCUCAUUAUUUUAACCUUGUUCCUUUUAGGGAUGAUUUCCUCUCAACAGGCUUCAAGCUCAUAUUGUAGGAAACAACGAUCAAUCAUGGUAAAGAGGUGACUGGAAGAUUUUUGCUAAAACGUGUAAAAUCGAAGCUUACUUUUGCUACUUUUCUCAAGCAUGAGUUAAUUCUUAGGUGACGAAUCUGAGCUAAGCUGGAAUUUAUACGGAUCCAUAAUGCAUUGUGGAUUUGUGGGGUUGAAAUCAAAUGCAUGAUUGGGGGAGAAACAAGGGUAAAGUACAUUUCCAGUUAGUGAUUUUGUUUUCCUGGCAAGAGGUACUGUGGGAUGCAAUCUGAAUACAAUAGUCGUGCCUUUCGUGGUAUGCAGUCUUUAUCAUGCUUGGAUAUGUUGAAUUAGUAGCUAUAGUCCUCUGGAAAAUGUAUUAAAACUUUUACUACUAACUAGUUCAAACUUUUUCUCGUAGAGUUCAAACUUUUUCUCGUAGAAAGUCUUGAUCUUAUCUCACUAUUCAGUGUGACAUCGUGUUCCUUGUAAGCAGAAACUUUCUUGCUAUUACAGUGUUAGAUUGGUUCCGUUUCACUUUGCUCUGCAUCCCCUAGGGCUUCACCUCUUGGCUUGGCUAUUGGAUUGCAUCUGUUCUACUCAUGGAUUAUCAUUGUGUGAGCUUCGAUGGGGUUAAACUUUCGCCAGAGUAAAAUCCUGUUCAAACUCUAGUAUCUUAACAUACAAGGAAUCUAAAAUAUGUGACAAGGAGAAAACCCAUUAACAAGCCCUAUCUAGCAAGAACUGCUGCCAUAGCAUUUGAUUAUAAGAGCUCAGUAUUCAGACAUUAAGAAAAGAAAAGAAACUGGAAAACAUUUCUUUUCUUACAUAACCAAACCAGCAAUAUACUACUGGCGACAUAUAUUCUAGAGCCAUAAGCAUCUCAUUCUAGAUGCGCUGCCAAAGGAUCCUCAGUUGCCCAAAUUCGAUGCAUAAAUGUCCUACAACUUCAACCAUACCCCCUGAUGAAUCCAAUCUUCAUCACCUUCAUCAUCACUGCUGAUCUUGCUAAUGUUUGCCAUCAUCAGGAUUUCUUGCAGCUGUCAUCUAAAUGGAGGCCAUGAAUGAUUUCUCAGAGGGAAUGGAUGAAGGAGAGAUUAUUGAGAUUUUAAAGGAAAGAAAAGGGUUAGACUUUGUGGGAGGGGAUCUUCCAAGCAUAUGCUUGAAGCAUUAACUUGUUGGCAUAUUCUUUCUUCUUUAACUUUAUAUAUUUAUAUGAUUAAUAGAGAUUAGCA